rnacentral:rRNA from 1 species
AGCUUGCUCUUAUGAAGUUAGCGGCGGACGGGUGAGUAACACGUGGGUAACCUGCCCAUAAGACUGGGAUAACUCCGGGAAACCGGGGCUAAUACCGGAUAACAUUUUGAACCGCAUGGUUCGAAAUUGAAAGGCGGCUUCGGCUGUCACUUAUGGAUGGACCCGCGUCGCAUUAGCUAGUUGGUGAGGUAACGGCUCACCAAGGCAACGAUGCGUAGCCGACCUGAGAGGGUGAUCGGCCACACUGGGACUGAGACACAGCCCAGACUCCUACGGGAGGCAGCAGUAGGGAAUCUUCCGCAAUGGACGAAAGUCUGACGGAGCAACGCCGCGUGAGUGAUGAAGGCUUUCGGGUCGUAAAACUCUGUUGUUAGGGAAGAACAAGUGCUAGUUGAAUAAGCUGUUUAUCUUUUACGGUACCUAACCAGAAAGCCACGGCUAACUACGUGCCAGCAGCCGCGGUAAUACGUAGGUGGCAAGCGUUAUCCGGAAUUAUUGGGCGUAAAGCGCGCGCAGGUGGUUUCUUAAGUCUGAUGUGAAAGCCCACGGCUCAACCGUGGAGGGUCAUUGGAAACUGGGAGACUUGAGUGCAGAAGAGGAAGUGGAAUUCCAUGUGUAGCGGUGAAAUGCGUAGAGAUAUGGAGGAACACCAGUGGCGAAAGCGACUUUCUGGUCUGUAACUGACACUGAGGCGCGAAAGCGUGGGGAGCAAACAGGAUUAGAUACCCUGGGUAGUCCACGCCGUAAACGAUGAGUGCUAAGUGUUAGAGGGUU